rnacentral:tRNA from 1 species
GCCGUCUUAGCUCAUUUGGUAGAGCAACUGACUUGUAUUCAGAAGGUGGUAGGUUCAAUUCCUAUAAACGGCA